AACGAACGCUGGCGGCAUGCCUAACACAUGCAAGUCGAACGAGACCUUCGGGUCUAGUGGCGCACGGGUGCGUAACGCGUGGGAACCUGCCCUUAGGUUCGGAAUAACUCCCCGAAAGGGGUGCUAAUACCGGAUAAUGUCUUCGGACCAAAGAUUUAUCGCCUUUGGAUGGGCCCGCGUUGGAUUAGCUAGUUGGUAGGGUAAAAGCCUACCACGGCGACGAUCCAUAGCUGGUCUGAGAGGAUGAUCAGCCACACUGGGACUGAGACACGGCCCAGACUCCUACGGGAAGCAGCAGUGGGGAAUAUUGGACAAUGGGCGAAAGCCUGAUCCAGCAAUGCCGGGUGAGUGAUGAAGGCCGUAGGGUUGUAAAGCUCUUUUACCCGGGAUGAUAAUGACAGUACCGGGAGAAUAAGCACCGGCUAACUCCGUG
rnacentral:rRNA from 1 species